rnacentral:tRNA from 2 species
GCCCGGGUGGUGGAAUGGUAGACACAAGGGACUUAAAAUCCCUUGGCUGAAAGGCCGUGCGGGUUCGAGUCCCGCCCUGGGCACCA